CCAGGUACGUGGACGGCCGAGUCUUUGUCACCAAGGUGCUCCCUGGGAGCCAGGCAGAGGUGGACGAGGUGGUGCUGGCCGGUGACAUCCUGGAUGAAAUCAAUGGCUGCUCACUGAGAUACGCCUCUCCCGGGCAGGUGGGUGGGGACAGGGGGCUGGGGUGUGCCCCUCUUGUGCCUCCUGCUGCCCUCUGUCCCCUCCCUCCAGGCUGGGGCCGUGCUGCAGAGGCUGAAGGGACAGCCGCUCACCUUCCGCCUGCUCCGCUGGCGCUGGCACGACGGGACGGUCUUUGAGCCGCUGCUGCCCUACCUGAGGGCGCUGCAGGAGAAGGAGCCCCACUUCCAGCUCCAGCACAGCCCCCAGCACAGGGGCCAGCGGGAGCCCCAGCAGCUGCAGGGGGGCAGGUGGGUCUGUGCCACGGGCAGAGGGCUGGGCUGAGGCUCCUGGCACUGGGGUAGCCCCGUGCCCACUGUCCCUGAUCUCUGCUCAAGGCUGUGGGGCCAAGGCUGCCCCCAUGGCCUGGAGGUGAGGAGGGGGCUGGGGGCAUCUUUCCCUGCAAAGAGCAGCAAGAGGGAUGUGUGUGGUCCUUCCUCUGAUGCCCCCAAGCCUUUUCUCCCCAGACUGCUCUACAACCUGCAGUUCCUGGGCCAGACCAGCGUCGGGACGGUGAGGCUGUGGGGCAGAGACCUACCAUGGGGUGAAUCAUCUCUUCUGAAGUUUUUUCAUGUGUCCAAGGGUAAUUCCCUCCUUCCCAUUCCAUUUCAGUAUGGUGGCAAAGAGGUGCUGGAGGGAGCCAUCCCUGCUGUGCUGGAGGGGGACUUGGCAGCUCGGGAGGUUUUAUUUGAUGUGAAGGAGGCAGAAGUCCUUGUGCAGGAGAAGGUUUCUUCCAAGCUGCUGAGCCGCCACCCCUACCCCUCC
rnacentral:lncRNA from 1 species